AUCAGUUCAGAUUUUUAAUAUCAUUAUGACUCGCGCAUGCGCUUUCGGUUUGAUCGCGGUAUUGUUGGAUCAGUUGUUGGAUGUAGCGUUCCGGUUCCAGUUAUAUUCAUUUCCCUGCUUUGUUAUCAACCCAUCCUCUUGGUUUGUUGAUGUAUAUCAUCAUACGGUUAUCCUUGAAUCUAUGAAGACUAUGAUGUAUAUCAUCAUACAGACACAUUCAUCUAUGCCUG